rnacentral:lncRNA from 1 species
CUAACUUUAUACACUACAGCCACACUCCCUUGGACUGUACUCACCUACUCUCUCCAUCCUCUGUAACUUUAUACACUACAGCCACACUCCUUUUGGACUGUAACCACCUACCUCCUCCAUUCGCGUAACUUUAUACACUACAGCCACACUCCUUUUGGACUGUACCAACCUACUCCUCUCCAUUCCUCUGUAACUUUAUACACUACAGGCCACACCCUUUUGGACUGUACUCACCUACUCUCUCCAUUCCUCUGUAACUUUAUAACACUACAGCCACACUCCUUUUGGACUGUACUCACCUACUCUCUCUCCAUACCUCGUAACUUUAUACACUACAGCCACACCCUUUUGGACUGUACUCACCUACUCUCUCCAUUCCUCUGUAACUUUAUACACUACAGCCACACUCCUUUUGGACUGUACUCACCUACUCUCUCCAUACCUCUGUAACUUUAUACACAACAGCCACACUCCUUUUGGACUGUACUCACCUACUCUCUCAUCCUCUUUAACUUUAAACACACAGCCACACUCCUUUUGGACUGUACU